rnacentral:rRNA from 1 species
UGGGGAAUUUUGGGACAAUGGGCGAAAGCCUGAUCCAGCAAUGCCGCGUGUGUGAAGAAGGCCUUCGGGUUGUAAAGCACUUUUGUCCGGAAAGAAAUCCUCUGGGUUAAUACCUCGGGGGGAUGACGGUACCGGAAGAAUAAGCACCGGCUAACUACGUGCCAGCAGCCGCGGUAAUACGUAGGGUGCAAGCGUUAAUCGGAAUUACUGGGCGUAAAGCGUGCGCAGGCGGUUUUGUAAGACGGAUGUGAAAUCCCCGGGCUUAACCUGGGGAACUGCAUUCGUGACUGCAAGGCUAGAGUAUGGCAGAGGGGGGUAGAAUUCCACGUGUGAGCAGUGAAAUGCGUAGAGAUGUGGAGGAAUACCGAUGGCGAAGGCAGCCCCCUGGGCCAAUACUGACGCUCAUGCACGAAAGCGUGGGGGAGCAAACAGGAUUAGGAUACCCUGGUAGUCCACGCCCUAAACGAUGU